rnacentral:rRNA from 1 species
GACGAACGCUGGCGGCGUGCUUAACACAUGCAAGUCGAACGGAAAGGCCAGUGCUUGCACUGGUGCUCGAGUGGCGAACGGGUGAGUAACACGUGGGUGAUCUGCCUUGCACUCUGGGAUAAGCUUGGGAAACUGGGUCUAAUACCGGAUAGGAACCGUCUUUAGUGUGGUGGUUGGAAAGUUUUUUCGGUGCAAGAUGAGCUCGCGGCCUAUCAGCUUGUUGGUGGGGUAAUGGCCUACCAAGGCGUCGACGGGUAGCCGGCCUGAGAGGGUGUACGGCCACAUUGGGACUGAGAUACGGCCCAGACUCCUACGGGAGGCAGCAGUGGGGAAUAUUGUACAAUGGGCGGAAGCCUGAUGCAGCGACGCCGCGUGGGGGAUGACGGCCUUCGGGUUGGAAACUCCUUUCGACAGGGACGAAGCGUUAUGUGACGGUACCUGUAUAAGAAGCACCGGCUAACUACGUG